GAAAACUUCCUCUUUUAGAGUUUGUCCAGUAGGUUUCCCUUUAGGGCAACCCUC
ensembl:snRNA U7 U7 small nuclear RNA